UGGGGAUUAGCCAAGCGGUAAGGCAACGGACUUUGACUCCGUCACUCCAAGGUUCGAAUCCUUGAUCCCCAG
rfam:Paenibacillus sp. JDR-2, complete genome.